AACAAACCGGAGGCCCUCGCUCUUCCAAUACUCACGCCCUAGCUACAGAGGUCAAGGAAGGUUUCCCCAGGAGCAGUUUUGGUUUCAGACGGCGCCGUCUCCCGCGAAAGUCCUGAGAGGAGCCCAGCCUUUUCCGCCUGCCGCCCCCGGAUGGGAUGGUUGAGGCCGGGGCCACGCCCCCUCUGCCCCCCUGCGAGGGCAUCCUGGGCUUUCUCCCACCGCUUUCCGAGCCCGCUUGCACCUCGGCGAUCCCCGACUCCCUUCUUUAUGGCGUCGCUCCUGUGCUGUGGGCCGAAGCUGGCCGCCUGCGGCAUCGUCCUCAGCGCCUGGGGAGUGAUCAUAUAAUGCUCGGAAUAUUUUUCAAUGUCCAUUCCGCUGUGUUGAUUGAGGACGUUCCCUUCACGGAGAAAGAUUUUGAGAAUGGCCCCCAGAACAUAUACAACCUUUACGAGCAAGUCAGCUACAACUGUUUCAUCGCUGCAGGCCUUUACCUCCUCCUCGGAGGCUUCUCUUUCUGCCAAGUUCGGCUCAAUAAGCGCAAGGAAUACAUGGUGCGCUAGGGCCCCGGCGCGUUUCCCCGCUCCAGCCCCUCCUCUAUUUAAAGACUCCCUGCACCGUGUCACCCAGGUCGCGUCCCACCCUUGCCGGCGCCCUCUGCGGGACUGGGUUUCCCGGGCGAGAGACUGAAUCCCUUCUCCCAUCUCUGGCAUCCGGCCCCCGUGGAGAGGGCUGAGGCUGGGGGGCUGUUCCGUUUCUCCACCCUUCGCUGUGUCCCGUAUCUCAAUAAAGAGAAUCUGCUCUCUUCAGCCCUGUGUCUGUGCUUGAGUGGGGGCGAGCACGGGGCUGAGACUAGAGGUCGGCCUCUGCCUGGAAAGUCCCGAUGUCUGAGCGGAAGUGGAGCGAAGUGUGGCGCGGAAGUGAGGCGAAGGCUUUCCCCAUCGACUGGGCGCGCCGAGCGGUCUAAGCGACUGCGUCUGAUGGGGCGGGGAGCCGCCGGGUUGAGCCUAUCCGCUGCGGGGAGGGCGGGACUUCCUGCGCGGGGGCCCGAGCCGCUCAGUCUCCCUGCUCUCCGUGGUCCCGGCUCGCGUGUAGCGGCGGCGGCGGCGUCUCCGUGAGGAGGCGCGCGGGGCCAUGACGUCAGCGUCCACAAAGGUCGGAGAGAUCUUCUCGGCGGCCGGCGCCGCCUUCACGAAGCUCGGGGAGCUGACGAUGCAGCUGCAUCCCGUGGCCGACUCUUCUCCUGCGGGUGCGAAGUGGACGGAGACGGAAAUAGAGAUGCUGAGGGCUGCUGUGAAGCGAUUUGGGGACGAUCUUAAUCACAUCAGCUGUGUCAUCAAGGAACGGACAGUGGCCCAGAUAAAGGCCACUGUGAAACGCAAGGUAUAUGAAGAUUCUGGCAUCCCCCUUCCAGCUGAGUCACCCAAGAAAGGGCCCAAGAAGGUGGCAUCUGGUGUCUUGUCACCUCCUCCAGCUGCCCCUCCUCCCAGCAGCUCCAGUGUCCCUGAGGCCGGGGGUCCCCCCAUAAAGAAACAGAAGGCUGAUGUGACACUCAGUGCUCUGAACGACUCCGAUGCCAACAGUGACGUGGUGGAUAUUGAAGGGCUAGGAGAAACUCCUCCAGCUAAGAAACUCAACUUCGACCAGGCCUGACCCUGGAUUCUGGCCUUCUCAUGACCUCUGCUGAUCCUCCUCUCCUCUCCUGCUGAGCCUUCCACCUCUGACCUCUCACUGUUCAUGCCGGACCUGUGGAUCUCCUGGGACUCCGAGCAAGGCCUGCACGAGAGAGGGCUGAAAGGCUGCUGGGGCUGCCACCUCGCUAUUCCCGCAUAAGCAUCUGCCCCCAACCCCUUUGACCUUCAUCUGAUGGACAUUUUUAUACAGAAAACAAUAAAGAUUUCCCUCUCAGCUU
rnacentral:lncRNA from 1 species